AUCUUCAAGAUCUUUUCCAAUAAAUGAUUCUGUGGUUCUCUUCUAUUGCUGGUCCCGUGUUUUGUAUCUGCCAUAGAAGGGAUGCCCAACCAAAACCAUGUAAUUGAAGUGUCUUUGGAUGUUCUUUCUCCUGUGUGCUAAGUGUUUAAAAGGGAGCUGCAGAAGUUUUAAAUAGUUUAUAGGAGCAGUAAGAAUGGUGACAUUUUAUCUCAAAUUUUUAUAGGAUUUCUUGAGGACAGUGGGGAGGCUGAGAAUUCUGGCCCAACAGUGGCCAGUGGGAAGAGGCAGAGAAUUUGGAACGUGUGCAUUAAUGCUUCCCAUGAAUACGCCCAGCAUCCAGUGAUUCAUGAUUCAGAUGCUUGCUGAGUGAAAAGUAGUAUUUAUUUUUACUGACAUUGAAGGGUUUUUCAUUUUUAAUAGAAACAAUCUCACAGUAAUGUUGGUAUCUUACGAAUUUACUGCAAAAACAACAUUUGGGAAAAGUUGUAUGUAGUUAAGCAAGCCACCUUUUCAGGUGGAAGAAGCUACUAGCUGCUCACAAAAUGUAGAAAGUCAGAUGUCAUUUGAAGGAAUUCUGCCAAGCAUGGUGUAACAAGGUAAGCUUUGGCACUUUAAGAAGAAAGCUUCAUAUCAACUUAAGAAGCUAAAUGAGUUAAAUGGUUAACCAUUUUUCUCAUGAAUUCAUCUAGCUUAACUUUCUAAUACAGAGAUAGCAAAGUACCUCAACGUUUUUGAUCAGAGUACCUUGUUUCCUGAGGAACUAUAUAAAAAGAGAUGCUAAAAGUAACCGAAAGCAGGCAUUUCAUAUCCCCACCUCCUUUAGAUAUUUGUCUGCUUAUUUCUUUUCUGUCUUUGCAUAUAGAUGCGGUGUCUGUAAUCCAUUUUCUAGUGAUAGGUUACUGAACAACACUACUUGUCUAGUCUUGCUUCAUCUUCUGCCCAAAGAGUGGGUGUUGUGGUAGACAAAUUUUUGCAGAAUUAAGUUUUCUGUAGAGACAGGACACCACAUAAUGCUGGUUUCCAAAAAGUAUCCUGAAAUUGUUCCAUCUAAACUAUUUAUUUGUGGAUGAAUUGUCUUCCAUUUGACUGUACAAAACUAGUUACUGUUGGAAACGAAAAAGCAAACAGAAUCAUUGACCUAUCCAACUUGAUGCGGAUUUCAAGUACCAAGGAUUGACUCACUUACUGGGUAAUUAGUCUUGUCAGUCAAACCUUUCCAUGGACUACUUGUAAAAGUAUUGAUGGCCCUUAGUUUUUCUUUGCUUUGCAGGCUAAACCAUUAUAACUGAAUCAUAAAUGCUCUGUUUUAAUUUGUUUUUAAUAUUUUGAGGCACGCAUGGUGGUUCAAAUAGUAUAUCAAAUUGUGUUUGUGCCAUUACUGUUGAAACACAAUUGGAUUUACUUAGAUAAUAUUUUUUCCAGAAAACCCCACUGUGAUGUCGUGCAUACUACUGGUCCAUUGUAGCCACGAAGACCAAUGGAUGGACAAAAAGUACGUCUGUAAAGAGAAGUUAGCACCUUCCUGUUGGAAACUGUAGCAAACUAGAAAUUGCUGUUCUACUUUCAUAGGUUACAUAUCAAACUCCCAGCAAUUUUUGCCACAAAUUCACGCAGGGUUAACCAGCUAGAAUUACUAAGAAACCAUGAUCUUGUUCUGCAGUAGUGACUGAGCAUUCUUUCCAGGGGUAGCUCAGUUUCCAUCCCCAGAUAGUUACUGCAGUAGACACCUGGGAUUUAAUUUCCUCUUUCUUUCUGCAAGUAAGAUAUCUGUGGCAUUCUGUUCUAUGAUUAGUUCUGUAACUUGGUGAGAAAUACUUUAUCAGCUGCAAGUGAAGAGUAAUAUGUGUGUUAUCAGGGAGGACCAGGAAGCUCUCAGCACCCAUCCUGAGGAAAGAGUAUAAAUAAUUGUGGAUUCCAAAGUCCUGAAUAAACUCUGGAGGAAAAAGGUUAAGAAAAAUGAGGGGGAAAGGCUGCAAGGAUAUGCCCAAUGAAUAAGGCACUGUGCUACUGAGAGACUAUGAUGUCUCUGCAUUGCCAGAACAUUUUUGUUGCUUGCUGUAAGCUAAAGAAGACACUAAAGGACAAAAAUUACUGGAAAUCUGUGGAUGAUUCUAGUCUCCAAUUUCCCACAUACAGAAAACUCAUUUUAUGUAUUACCACAUAUGAGAAGUGAAAGUACUUCCUACAGUGGACUUGGCUAUGUGUUUAUCUGUAGUGGUCCUGCCCAGAUGACCAUUGUACACUGAGGAUUAGUGAUCCAUCUAAAUCAGGCUGUGCCUACUCAACCCUGUGCUAUACUGCGCUGGCAGUCCAGCCUGGCCUCCUGGUCCACCUGGGACUGUGUAUGCCUCAUGGCUAUGGGGUAAAUUGAUGUGGUUGAUUGUACCAGAGGAGCCUGCAGGCAGCUCCUGCUCUGUACCUGUGAUUACCCCUGCUGUGUGGUCUGCCCAUUAUCUGAAAAUGCAGCAAGAGGUUGACAUGUGAACAUCCUUUCUGUUUGGUACUAGAAACAAUGUAUAGAGUUGUUUUCUUGUAAGAAAACCCUGUAUUAGCUUAAAUGACCAAAAUGGUGGAACUUUACCUUGGGCAGGGCCUGUGUGACAUGCUGCACCUUGAUCAGAGAUGUGGGUGAUGCUGCUGAGGCUUCCCAGCACCGGAAGAAAUGUAAGAUUAUCUCUACUGUCUUCUCUAUUCUAGUCUUAGCUCAAAUAAAUGGUAUUUUAUGUGAUACUUGAGAGUCUGAGUGCCUUUCUUACUGGGAUUGUAAUGAACCGGCACCACCUUGUGCAAAACAAUCAUCUUGUGUACCUGCCAGAAGUAUGCCACUUGCAGUGUUCUAUUUUUGUUCUGAUGAUGCGGUUAAAUGAAGGCUAAAACUGGACAAAAGUGAGUAUCUUUGUUUGUUUGUUUUGUUUGUUAUGUAUCUUGAAUGCAGGAUCUUAAUGGUUUGGCUUAAAAUCCAUGAGAAUGAAACCUUACCUUGACC